rnacentral:rRNA from 1 species
GAUGAACGCUGGCGGCGUGCCUAAUACAUGCAAGUCGAGCGAACAGACGAGGAGCUUGCUCCUCUGACGUUAGCGGCGGGGGGGUGAGUAACACGUGGAUAACCUACCUAUAAGAGUGGGAUAACUUCGGGAAACCGGAGCUAAUACCGGAGAAGAUAUUGAACCGCAUGGGUCAAUAGUGAAAGACGGUUUUGCGGUAACUUAUAGAGGGAUCCGGGCCGCAUUAGCUAGUUGGUAAGGUAACGGCUUACCAAGGCAACGAUGCGUAGCCGACCUGAGGGGGGGGUCGGCCACACUGGAACUGAGACACCGACCAGACUACUACGGGACGCAGCAGUAGGGAAUCUUCCGCAAUGGUCGAAAGCUUGGCGGAGCAACGCCGCGUGAGUGAUGAAGGUCUUCGGAUCGUAAUACUCUGUUAUUAGGGAAGAACAAAUGUGUAAGUAACUAUGCACGUCUUGACGGUACCUAAUCAGAAAGCCCCGGCUAACUACGUG